UGGGGAAUUUUGGACAAUGGGGGAAACCCUGAUCCAGCCAUUCCGCGUGUGCGAUGAAGGCCUUCGGGUUGUAAAGCACUUUUGGCAGGAAAGAAAUCGCAUCAAUUAAUACUUGGUGUGGAUGACGGUACCUGCAGAAUAAGCACCGGCUAACUACGUGCCAGCAGCCGCGGUAAUACGUAGGGUGCAAGCGUUAAUCGGAAUUACUGGGCGUAAAGCGUGCGCAGGCGGUUCGGAAAGAGAGGUGUGAAAUCCCAGGGCUCAACCUUGGAACUGCACUUUUAACUACCGAGCUAGAGUAUGUCAGAGGGGGGUGGAAUUCCGCGUGUAGCAGUGAAAUGCGUAGAUAUGCGGAGGAACACCGAUGGCGAAGGCAGCCCCCUGGGAUAAUACUGACGCU
rnacentral:rRNA from 1 species